GAACGGGUGAGUAAUGCAUCGGAACGUGCCCUGAAGUGGGGGAUAACGCAGCGAAAGUUGCGCUAAUACCGCAUAUUCUGUGAGCAGGAAAGCAGGGGAUCGCAAGACCUUGCGCUUUAGGAGCGGCCGAUGUCGGAUUAGCUAGUUGGUGGGGUAAAGGCUCACCAAGGCGACGAUCCGUAGCGGGUCUGAGAGGAUGAUCCGCCACACUGGGACUGAGACACGGCCCAGACUCUUACGGGAGGCAGCAGUGGGGAAUUUUGGACAAUGGGCGAAAGCCUGAUCCAGCCAUGCCGCGUGAGUGAAGAAGGCCUUCGGGUUGUAAAGCUCUUUCGGCGGGGAAGAAAUCGCAUUCUCUAAUACAGGAUGUGGAUGACGGUACCCGAAUAAGAAGCACCGGCUAACUACGUGCCAGCAGCCGCGGUAAUACGUAGGGUGCGAGCGUUAAUCGGAAUUACUGGGCGUAAAGCGUGCGCAGGCGGUUUCGUAAGACAGACGUGAAAUCCCCGGGCUCAACCUGGGAACUGCGUUUGUGACUGCGAGGCUAGAGUUUGGCA
rnacentral:rRNA from 1 species